rnacentral:rRNA from 1 species
CCUACGGGAGGCUGCAGUGGGGAAUAUUGCACAAUGGGAGAAACCCUGAUGCAGCGACGCCGCGUGAGUGAAGAAGUAUUUCGGUAUGUAAAGCUCUAUCAGCAGGGAAGAAAAUGACGGUACCUGAUUAAGAAGCCCCGGCUAACGACGUGCCAGCAGCCGCGGUAAUACGUAGGGGGCAAGCGUUAGCCGGAUUUACUGGGUGGAAAGGGAGCGUAGACGGCAGCACAAGUCUGGAGUGAAAUGCCGGGGCUUAACCCCGGAACUGCUUUGGAAACUGUGCAGCUAGAGUGCAGGAGAGGUAAGUGGAAUUCCUAGUGUAGCGGUGAAAUGCGUAGAUAUUAGGAGGAACACCAGUGGCGAAGGCGGCUUACUGGACUGUAACUGACGUUGAGGCGCGAAAGCGUGGGGAGCAAACAGGAUUAGAUACCCUGGUAGUC